UGUUAAAAAUUUAAUCCACUAGUAUUGUUAAAAAUUGACGUGAUUGACGGAAUAACCAGACAGUUAUACAUGGUAUGCCACAUGUACCUCAUACUAGUGUACAAUAAUUAGUUUUUAAUAGUAAAAAUAAAUAAAAAUUUUAACA
rfam:Gossypium hirsutum cultivar TM-1 unplaced genomic scaffold scaffold1876.1, whole genome shotgun sequence